UAACGCGUGAGUAACCUGCCUUUCAGAGGGGGAGUAACGUUCUGAAAAGAACGCUAAUACCGCAUGAGACUACAGAGCUGCAUGGCUCAGUGGUCAAAGGAGCAAUCCGCUGAAAGAUGGACUCGCGUCCGAUUAGAUAGUAGGCGGGGUAACGGCCCACCUAGUCGACGAUCGGUAGCCGGACUGAGAGGUUGAACGGCCACAUUGGGACUGAGACACGGCCCAGACUCCUACGGGAGGCAGCAUG
rnacentral:rRNA from 1 species